AACAGUAAGAUAUUUCUACUAGCAGGCUGAAGUAGGUUUGGUAACGAUCAAGGAAGCUGAGCUUUUGGUUGCACCUCAUAAUAUUCCCAUCUGGUCUAAAUGAAUAUUUCUUUCCUUGGCUGGGGCACACUAGUUACCCUUCAUUGUCUUGGCACCAAACUUUUCUAAUUCAGUGUCUGUUCUUCACAUAGUACUGGGCCUUUAUGUGGCAUGUAUGUGUAGUGGUGAAUUGAAGGCUCAUACUCUCCAUGUUCUUACACACCUAACCCUUGCUGUGGCCUUGUCCAAAGUAAAUUUUAUCUUGUAUGCAUUGCCCCAUACUUACCAAAAAUAAUGUCAUAUUUUUUCUUGAUUGUGUCACACAAGCUGUUCUUUUUUUGUGACGUGUUCAAUAAUGCCUACGGUAGUCCUGCUUCAGUUCAUAAGAGUCUUGCAGACUGAGAACAUGAUAUAUAUUUUUAUUUUCGCAUAUGCAAUGUAAGCCAUGUCUGCAUGCAUUAGAAUUUUGUGGAAUUGACCUACCCAUGUGGUGUAGCACAUAAAAUUACAUUCAAAUGCAUUUUCUCAGAUCUCGGACAGUGAAUGCACACCAAACUCCUGUGCAGGCGUUUUCCGUGUUGAUUUUAAAAAGAGCUUUAGGAAAUUUAUUACAUUUACCUGUGUUUGUAGAUUGCUUCAAAAAAUUGGUUGUCACUGGGUUGCCAUGCUUUUCACACUGCUUUAUACUAUCAUUGUGGUGCAUCAUCUUUUGAACACCCAAAAUAAACAGUAUGAAACAAUAUUCAGUUACUUUGUACUUUUCCUUCCCACAUGAUUAACAUGUCUGUUAUACGGGGUGUGCAUUUGAUAUACGUGCAGAUUUAUAAAAAAAAUGGAGCAUUCUGCAUAAGUGAAAACCACUGCAUUACUAGCAAAGUGAGAGCACAUGCAAGUAUCUUUUUCACUUGGGCAUAAAUAAUUAAUACUAAUUCAUCAAGGUGUCAUUGGAAACUAGGGCACUUUUAAAGAAAACCCGAUUUAUGUGUUUGCAACAUAAUACACCGUGUGCUUUUUCAGGGAGCCUGCAGUAUCUGCGUCAAAAACAUAAACAAUGUGCGUACGUCUAUCAGAAUAACUCGCUAAGUCCAGCACCUUCGCCUCCGUGCGUGAGCUGCUCUAAGUCAACCUUGUGGGGUCUCAUUUGCCGGCUCAGCGCGAUUACCGCUGGGACGGUAACCUUUGCCAUUCUUUGUGCAUGAAAAUUACUUUUGUUUGCGUUCUCACAGCUGCCGAGUGCAAAACGAGGUGAUUGAAGCUGACGGCAGUGCCAAUUCAGAACCUGCCGGAGUCCUCCACUUUCAAUGCUGAGAAGGCUGCCCGGUCCAGGGAGUGGAACAUCCAAGAACGCUAGGCGCAACAAUCGCUCGUACAGGGAAACGCAGAGGCAAUACAUGUGCCCCACCCCUGGUGAAGAAAACCAUUCUGAGCCACUCUCAAACACUCAAGAUGAAAACCACAACCCUUGCAUCGACUGCAUCACAGCCCAAGACGACUCAUUUUCAAGCAAGGAGAGGGAAGUUGCUGCCGUGCUGGCAGAGAUGUCUGCAGCUAGGCAAGGACGGAACACAGUCUGCACUGAAGACCAGUCUGUACAAGUCAUUUGCGGUGGAUUUUCAGGGAAGUUUUGUCACUCCUCGCUGAAGACAAUGUAAACACUUUCACUGGAUUGCCGUCCUAUUCUCGAUGCACUGGUCUCAUGUUAUGAAGAGAUGCACAAAUUAACAAACAAACACCAGUUGUCAGCAAAGGAUAGGGUAGUGAUGAUGAUGAUGAAGCUGAAGCACCAUGUGUAAAUAAACUUUCUGAAGAACUUGUUUGAUUGUUCACUGACGACAGCAACUGGCAUAAUUUGCCAAACAACUGAGACUUUUUCUAAAGCACUGGCGUUGGUAGUGACUCUACCAUCCAAAGAGGAAACCUUACGGAACAUGCCAAAGCAUCUCAAGGGUUAUCAAACUGUGAGGCUUGUACUGGACUGUACGGAAAUGACAGUCGCACAGCCAAAGUGUUCGAAGGGUGCACUAAGAUUGUACUCCUUCUACAAGAAAAGCUUUACAUGCAAGUAUAUGAUUUCCGUUACCCCAGGAGGUAUCAUUGCACACAUCAGCAAAGGGUACGGUGGCCGAGCAUCUGAUAAGGCAAUAUUUGAGCAGAGCGGGCUGCUCUAUAUGCUUGAGCCAGUGACGGAUGCAGUCAUGGUAGACCGUGACUUUCUCAUUGACAGUAUCUGCGAGGACCGACUAAUUGCUGUGAUCAGAUUACCUUUUCGUAAGCAAAAACCAGCUUUCCAAACGGGAUGCCUUGGAGACGCAUAGGAUUGCAGCUGCGAGGGUUCAUGUGGAGCGAGCCAUUCAAAGAUUGAAAAUUUUCAGACUUUUGUCAAGCAAGAUUCUGUGCAACAUGUUGUGCAUGAUGGAUAAUAUUAUGACGAUAGUUGCAGGAGUGACUAACCUCUCGGCUCCCAUUUUCGCGGACAACAAAUUUUUCUAAGGGCCAUGUCUGUAGCCUUGGCUGAAAAAUUCAGUGUUGUAGAGACAGUGUUGAAAUCUGUGCAUGACGAUAAAAUGACUCCCGAGACAAUAAAUAUAUCCUUUUGUUCA
rnacentral:sRNA from 1 species